ACUCCUACGGGAGGCAGCAGUGGGGAAUCUUGGACAAUGGGGGAAACCCUGAUCCAGCCAUGCCGCGUGAGUGAUGAAGGCCCUAGGGUUGUAAAACUCUUUCGGCGGGGACGAUAAUGACGGUACCCGCAGAAGAAGCUCCGGCUAACUUCGUGCCAGCAGCCGCGGUAAUACGAAGGGGGCUAGCGUUGUUCGGAAUUACUGGUCGUAAAGCGUGCGCAGGCGGCUCAUCCAGUCAGAGGUGAAAGCCCAGGGCUCAACCCUGGAAUUGCCUUUGAAACUAGUGGGCUCGAGUGCGGGAGAGGUGAGUGGAAUUCCCAGUGUAGAGGUAAAAUUCGUAGAUAUUGGGAAGAACACCGGUGGCGAAGGCGGCUCACUGGCCCGUUUCUGACGCUCAUGCACGACAGCGUGGGGAUCAAACAGGAUUAGAUACCCUGGUAGUC
rnacentral:rRNA from 1 species